AUUGAACGCUGGCGGCAGGCCUAACACCUGCCAGUCGAGCGGAGCGGCGGACGGGUGAGUAAUGCCUGGGAAUCUGCCUGGUAGUGGGGGAUAACGUCCGGAAACGGGCGCUAAUACCGCAUAAUAUCAGAUGAGCCGAGGUCGGAUUAGCUCGUUGGUGGGGUAAAGGCCUACCAAGGCGACGAUCCGUAACUGGUCUGAGAGGAUGAUCAGUCACACUGGAACUGAGACACGGUCCAGACUCCUACGGUAGGCAGCAGUGGGGAAUAUUUGACAAGGGGCGAAAGCCUGAUCCAGCCAUGCCGCGUGUGUGAAGAAGGUCUUCGGAUUGUAAAGCACUUUAAGUUGGGAGGCGUUACCCGCAGAAGAAGCACCGGCUAACUCCGUGCCAGCCGCCGCGGUAAUAC
rnacentral:rRNA from 1 species